GCCACGCGCCCUGGCCCGCGCCCCUCCGCCGCCCCGGGGUAGGGACCGCAGACCCCACAGCCCCCGCCCGCGAGGGCCACCCACUCCGGGGCUGCGGGCGGCGGCGGCCCCUGCGUGCCGGGCGCCACCCGACGGCUAGAGGUAGAGAAGCCGAGGCAGUCCCAGCCCGGUUCGGAGGCAGCUGUCGUUCCCGGGCACUGUCCCUGGGCCCGGCUGGCGCUCAGGCCUCCAGACCGGCUCUGGGUAGGCGGUGCGAGCGCGGCGCCUGCCCGCGGGCCUCGAGGGGAGCCAAGGGCCUGGGUGGCGCCCGGACCCGGAUGGCCUGGGCGAGCCGCAGGCCCCAGAGUGGGACUGCGCGACCCCAGAUCCGCGUCGGUCAAGGCCGUCUCCUCCACGCACCCUUCCCUUCAAGCCCAGUCACCCCUGCCUCUCCCAUUCUGGGCAGUGAACCAUGUGGUUCUGAUUGCUUGAGACUUCUGUGAGUCUUGGUUUCUUCAUCCAUAAAAUUUUACAUGCGGGCAUAGCGGAAGGAAUGUGCGCUGACUCCGGAGUCAGACCGAUCUGGAUCUGAAUCUCAGAGCAUUUGGCCAGCUCGAUGAAUACCUCAUCCUCUCAGUGCUGCAAUUUCCUCAUCUGUGAAAUGGGCCUAAUCUGAUAAAUGUGAUGGGCUUGGAGAUGUCUAUCCGCAGAUCUGGAAGAAUGCACCCCAAAGCUUGAUACCUUGCGAGGCUUCACGGAGUGGCCCUGCCGCCCAGACUGAGGAAGACCUGGAAAGUUUGUGGACAUGUGAGUCUCGGCCACACCGCAGCCGCCGGCCACAGGAUCCACUACGACAGAUAUCGCCCCGGUCACUUGGGAAGCUGGUAUGAGGCAUUACCACUUAAAGAGCAACGAGAGCUUCUGCUCAACUGUCAUCAUUGAUAAAUUGUGGACCUUGGUCGGUGAACAGACAAAGGGAAAUGCUGCCUCAAACAAGACUGGUGCGGCUCCCGUCUCUGAUGUGGUGCGACUGGGCUAUGACACAGUCCUGGAGAAAGGAAAGCUCCCAAAGCAGCCUGUCAUCGUGAAGGCCAGAUUCUUUAGCAGAAUCCCCCAACCGGCCAGCCGCCAAAAAAACAAAACCAAAAACAAAUCCCUCAGCAGAAGAGGAGAUGAUAAAGGGUGUGUGUGUGAGCACGGUGGGGCCUGUGUCCUGGUGGCUUGAAGCCCCUGGAGGAAGGUUCAGUAAGUGCUCACACAUGCUUUUCCCUUGCUAAAAAAAAAAGGCAUAUAUGUGUUUAUGUAUAUACACACAUACACAUUGUGGAAUGACUAAAUAAAGCUAAUAACGUGUGCAUUACCUCA